rnacentral:lncRNA from 1 species
AUUUUCGUUAUUUUUUCUUAGGCUAUACUUAUGUUCGUAUAUUCUUUUCUUUAGAUAUUGUCCUGUUUGACCUAACGAACGUUAUACAUAUAAUAGUAAUUAGAUUUAGUUUUCUGGAUGUGAUCACUAUUAAACGAUCCAGUGAAUAAAGUCCUUAAGUACAUUUUCCAGAAUGAUAUUAAUUUGUGUAGUAGCUCUCCUAGCAAUUCCAAUAUUCGGACUCACGGGUUUUCACAUGGUGCUGGUGGCUAGAGGCAGAACGACUAAUGAGCAGGUCACAGGCAAAUUUAAAGGGGGGUUUAAUCCAUUUUCUAGAGGUUGUUGGCAUAAUUGUUGCUACACACAGUUUGGGCCCCAAUUCCCAAGUUUAAUCAAAGAACGUGAAAAGAACAUCAAACGAAAACAGUGCCCUCACGGGCCGAUUGCGACCAUUACGAACGACAACCAAGUUAAGACUUACAUGGACAAUAGUAAUGGAGU